rnacentral:tRNA from 1 species
GGGCCGUUAGCUCAGUUGGUAGAGCAGGAGACUCUUAAUCUCAAGGUCGAAGGUUCGAUCCCUUCACGGCCCA